rnacentral:rRNA from 1 species
GGUUAAGCGACUAAGCGUACACGGUGGAUGCCCUGGCAGUCAGAGGCGAUGAAGGACGUGCUAAUCUGCGAUAAGCGUCGGUAAGGUGAUAUGAACCGUUAUAACCGGCGAUUUCCGAAUGGGGAAACCCAGUGUGAUUCGUCACACUAUCAUUAACUGAAUCCAUAGGUUAAUGAGGCGAACCGGGGGAACUGAAACAUCUAAGUACCCCGAGGAAAAGAAAUCAACCGAGAUUCCCCCAGUAGCGGCGAGCGAACGGGGAGCAGCCCAGAGCCUGAAUCAGUGUGUGUGUUAGUGGAAGCGUCUGGAAAGGCGCGCGAUACAGGGUGACAGCCCCGUACACAAAAAUGCACAUACUGUGAGCUCGAUGAGUAGGGCGGGACACGUGGUAUCCUGUCUGAAUAUGGGGGGACCAUCCUCCAAGGCUAAAUACUCCUGACUGACCGAUAGUGAACCAGUACCGUGAGGGAAAGGCGAAAAGAACCCCGGCGAGGGGAGUGAAAAAGAACCUGAAACCGUGUACGUACAAGCAGUGGGAGCCUCUUUAUGGGGUGACUGCGUACCUUUUGUAUAAUGGGUCAGCGACUUAUAUUCUGUAGCAAGGUUAACCGAAUAGGGGAGCCGAAGGGAAACCGAGUCUUAACUGGGCGUUAAGUUGCAGGGUAUAGACCCGAAACCCGGUGAUCUAGCCAUGGGCAGGUUGAAGGUUGGGUAACACUAACUGGAGGACCGAACCGACUAAUGUUGAAAAAUUAGCGGAUGACUUGUGGCUGGGGGUGAAAGGCCAAUCAAACCGGGAGAUAGCUGGUUCUCCCCGAAAGCUAUUUAGGUAGCGCCUCGUGAAUUCAUCUCCGGGGGUAGAGCACUGUUUCGGCAAGGGGGUCAUCCCGACUUACCAACCCGAUGCAAACUGCGAAUACCGGAGAAUGUUAUCACGGGAGACACACGGCGGGUGCUAACGUCCGUCGUGAAGAGGGAAACAACCCAGACCGCCAGCUAAGGUCCCAAAGUCAUGGUUAAGUGGGAAACGAUGUGGGAAGGCCCAGACAGCCAGGAUGUUGGCUUAGAAGCAGCCAUCAUUUAAAGAAAGCGUAAUAGCUCACUGGUCGAGUCGGCCUGCGCGGAAGAUGUAACGGGGCUAAACCAUGCACCGAAGCUGCGGCAGCGACGCUUAUGCGUUGUUGGGUAGGGGAGCGUUCUGUAAGCCUGUGAAGGUGUACUGUGAGGUAUGCUGGAGGUAUCAGAAGUGCGAAUGCUGACAUAAGUAACGAUAAAGCGGGUGAAAAGCCCGCUCGCCGGAAGACCAAGGGUUCCUGUCCAACGUUAAUCGGGGCAGGGUGAGUCGACCCCUAAGGCGAGGCCGAAAGGCGUAGUCGAUGGGAAACAGGUUAAUAUUCCUGUACUUGGUGUUACUGCGAAGGGGGGACGGAGAAGGCUAUGUUGGCCGGGCGACGGUUGUCCCGGUUUAAGCGUGUAGGCUGGUUUUCCAGGCAAAUCCGGAAAAUCAAGGCUGAGGCGUGAUGACGAGGCACUACGGUGCUGAAGCAACAAAUGCCCUGCUUCCAGGAAAAGCCUCUAAGCAUCAGGUAACAC